GUCAGGAUGGCCGAGUGGUUUAAGGCGCCAGACUCAAGUUCUGGUCUCCAAUUGGAGGCGUGGGUUCGAAUCCCACUUCUGACA